rnacentral:tRNA from 1 species
CCCCUGGUGGCUCAGACGGUAAAGCGUCUGCCUACAAUGCGGGAGACCCGGGUUCAAUCCCUGGGUUGGGAA